rfam:Alligator mississippiensis ScZkoYb_141, whole genome shotgun sequence.
CUGGCAGUUCCCAGCUCUGAGAACUGAAUUCCAUGGACUGGUUCCCUCUUCAUAUCUUCAGUCCAUAGUAGUCAGUUCUCUAGCUUGGCUGUAUCUG